AUGUCGACCGCCUCCUCCGAGUCCUCUCCCGCGGCCUAUGACCGCACGGCUGAGCUCCACGCGCUGGACACCACCUACGCCGGCGUGCGUGGCCUCAUCGCGUCCGGCGUCACCCAUGUCCCGCGCAUCUUUCGCGUCCCCGACCAGCACCAUGAGCCACGGCAGGACGGCACCGUCCCCGCCGGCCAAGAACCGGCAGCCAUUCCGAUAAUCGACCUCGGGUGCGGUGACCACACGGCCGUGGUGGCUGCCGUCCGGCGGGCCGCGGCGCAGUGGGGGUUCUUCAAGGUGACCGGCCACGGCGUGCCUGAGGACACGAUGGCCAUGGCGAUGGACGCUGUGCGGGCAUUCCACGAGGCCGAUGGUGGCGAGGGCAGCGACAAGGCGCGGCUCUACUCGCGUGAGCCGGCGAGGGCGGUCAAGUAUCACUGCAACUUCGACCUGUAUCAGUCGCCCGUGGCCAACUGGCGCGACACGCUCUACGUCCGCAUGGCGCCCACCCCACCUGAUGCCGGUGAUCUGCCGGACAACUGCCGCAAUGCGUUGUUUGACUAUGCCCACCAAGUGAAGAGUUUGGGGAACACUUUGUUCGAGCUGCUCUCGGAAGCUCUUGGGCUCAAACCGAGCCACCUGACAGAUAUAGAGUGCAACCAAGGACAAGUCUUACUAUGUCACUAUUACCCUCCUUGCCCACAGCCUGAACUCGCCAUCGGGACAAGCCGACAUUCAGAUGGUGGCUUCCUGACCAUACUUCUCCAAGACGAAAUCGGCGGCCUUCAGAUCUUCAGCGAGGAUCAGUGGGUAGACGUCGCGCCAACGCCCGGGGCAUUCAUUGUUAACAUCGGUGAUCUCUUACAGUUGAUCUCCAAUGAUGGGUUUAGGAGCGUGGAACAUAGGGUUUUGGCGAAGAACGUUGCUCCACGGGUCUCGAUUGCAAACUUCUUCGGAACGCACAUCAAUCCGACAUCGACAAGGAUUUACAGUCCAAUUAAGGAGUUGUUGUCUGACGAGAACCUACCAUUAUAUAGGGAAACCCUUGCUGGUGAUUAUAUCAAACAUUACUACUCCAUUGGGUUAGAUGCGAAAACUGCUCUUUCUCAUUACCGAUUAUGA
rnacentral:rRNA from 1 species